UGGGGAAUCUUGGACAAUGGGGGCAACCCUGAUCCAGCCAUGCCGCGUGAGUGAUGAAGGCCUUAGGGUCGUAAAGCUCUUUCGCCUGUGAAGAUAAUGACGGUAGCAGGUAAAGAAACCCCGGCUAACUCCGUGCCAGCAGCCGCGGUAAUACGGAGGGGGUUAGCGUUGUUCGGAAUUACUGGGCGUAAAGCGCACGUAGGCGGAUCGGAAAGUUGGGGGUGAAAUCCCGGGGGCUCAACCCCGGAACUGCCUCCAAAACUAUCGGUCUAGAGUUCGAGAGAGGUGAGUGGAAUUCCGAGUGUAGAGGUGAAAUUCGUAGAUAUUUGGAGGAACGACCAGUGGCGAAGGCGGCUCACUGGCUCGAUACUGACGCUGAGGUGCGAAAGUGUGGGGAGCGAACAGGAUUAGAUACCCUGGUAGUCCACACCGUAAACGAUGAAUGCCAGU
rnacentral:rRNA from 1 species